AACGACUCUCGGCAAUAGAUAUCUCGACUCUUGCAUCKAUAAAGAAUGUAACGAAAUGCGAUACUUGGUGUGAAUUGCAGAAUCCCGUGAACCAUCGAGUCUUUGAACAUAAGUUACACCUGAAGCCAUUAAGUUGAAGGCACGUCUGGCUGGGUGUCACACAACA
rnacentral:rRNA from 1 species